AAGCAGACAAGAGGAAGGGGGAGGAAGGAAGCACAGAUGCUGAGAGACCCCUGCUACGGGACAGCAAGGAGAUAGUUAUGUUGGAUGGCUAUAAAACUGCAAGCCAUGGCUGCUGUCAUCAGUCGUUGUUGUAGUAGCACGAGCUGCUAGCUGAGUGGGAGUCAGGUGUUGGAAGCUGGGGUGCAUAAAGCAGCUACCAAAUGUUCAGACUGCCUUUUAAGCUUCUCUGGACUGAGGACAUGCAAGAGGUUUUUUACUUUGUCUGCUUUGGAUUUCCUGUGCAUCCUGUGCAAGGCUGUUCAGAGCCCUGCCCUUCCAUUG